rnacentral:tmRNA from 1 species
GGGGAUGCAAUGGUUUCGACGGGGACUUUGAAAUCUGGAAUAGCCGUUGGAGGUGGGAGACUCCUAAAAAGCCCAACUUUUAAAUAAUAAAAGACAAAAAUUUAGAUUUAGUAGCAGCCUAAUGCUGCUCGCUGACCUUGAGCCUUCCGCAGCUUAAGAGUUCAGUGCCGACUUGCGGAGCACUUUUGUCACAAAGCUUUGAGUGAUAAAAAGAUAAAUGAAGCUACCUAAAGCUAUAGCCUGUCUGUCGGCGAUAGCUAAGGGGAAGUUUAAAAGACUGACUAUAACGGUAGAAGUUCUUGACGACGGGUUUUCGGACAGGGGUUCGAUUCCCCUCAUCUCCACU